AAUUACAUACUAAGCAAGAAAAAUUACAAGGGAUAGACAAAUACAUACUUGGAGUUGAAUAACGAUUUACCAAAUAUCUCCGAAGCCUUUUCCCUUUGGUAAUCUACACAUAAAUUGAAAGACCCAUUAAAAUAAAUAAAAAUUAAAAAAAAAAACUUGAUAAUAUAAUUAGAAUUUGAGAAGAAAAAAAAACUCACGAG
rnacentral:lncRNA from 1 species